AUUGAACGCUGGCGGCAGGCCUAACACAUGCAAGUCGAACGAGUGGCGGACGGGUGAGUAAUGUCUGGGACACUGCCUGAUGGAGGGGGAUAACUACUGGAAACGGUAGCUAAUACCGCAUACCAUCGGAUGUGCCCAGAUGGGAUUAGCUUGUAGGUGAGGUAACGGCUCACCUAGGCGACGAUCCCUAGCUGGUCUGAGAGGAUGACAAGCCACACUGGAACGGAGACACGGUCCAGACUCCUACGGGAGGCAGCAGGGGGGAAGAUUGCACAAUGGGCGAAAGCCUGAUGCAGCAAUGCCGCGUGUAUGAAGAAGGCCUUCGGAUUGUAAAGUACUUUCAGCAGGGAGGCGUUACCCGCAGAAGAAGCACCGGCUAACUCCGUGCCAGCAGCCGCGGGAAUUC
rnacentral:rRNA from 1 species